UACGUCCCCCCUGUCCACUCCAUUUUUUGUUUUAUCUUUCUGUCCGUUAGAUGCAAGCCGGGCUGGCCUCCAUCCGCCCGCUUUCCUACUCGCCUUGCAUGUUUCUGCCACUGCCUGUGGGUCUGGGUACAUGCGUGUUCUUGUUCGUAUGGUGGGCUGGUUGCUUCCUGUGUGGCUAAAAUAAUGAGCAUGCCUUACUGUUCCUCCCUCGCUGCCCCUUUUGUUGCCAAGACGGCCUGGUUAGCCCUCGUCCUCCUUCCACUCUCGCUCUCACUCCCCGCCUCGCUCGCUCGGCCUGCAGCUCUUCGAGCCGUCUCCGUCCACCGCGAACGGUUGUGUUUGGAGUUCUUCGUCAUGGUUGUGCUUCCUUCGCCUCUCGUGUACAAUUGAGGGUCAUACAGCCUGCUGUUUAACGCUCGGCCUGCUGCUCGGGGAGGUUUCCCGACGCCCGGGUGAUUCACUGGCAAGGGAUCUAAACUGACUGAUGUUGAUGCUGAUGCUUCUGCCACUGCACCUGCUGAGACCGUGGACACUACGGUUGCUGAGACAACUAAGCUUUAGAGGGCGGCUGCUGUUGCUGCCAAGAACGUUUUAGCAAAAAAGCUAAAGUAGCGGCUGAUCGACGCUUUGGGAUGAGCGUGCAUGUCUGGCUGUUUUGUAUAUAGAAGGUCUCUGCCUUGGCCCUCGCCGCCUUGGGCUCGCUACUUUGGCGCUGGCUACUAACGCCUCCGCCCGCAAGGACAAGUGAACCAUGAAUCACCGUCGUUGUCUUCAGGCACCUCUCUUUGCACCCUUCUGGACAUGCUACUACGUUGCAUGCGUGUUUGCAAACCCAGUCUUUGACGCUCAUACAGCCAUGUCAAAGUUCAGUUGAUACACUUCCCUAUUUAAGAUGCGAACUAAGCUACUUUCAUGUCUUGUAAAUAUUGCCGUUGGCCUUUCCUGCUUUCCCUUGCCUCCUCAAUGACCAUUUCUAUCCAUUGUAAAUAUUCAUUCAACCAUGCUACCUAAUAUAUGUAUUAUUAGCAGUGUAAUGUUAUUUCUUCUGAAGAUUAUGCAUGUGUGCUAUUCUCAGGGUUUGCUCAAUUAUAGUUAUGGGUUCUUGCCAGUGGUUAUACCGUGCACGCCCUUUGAGCAUCAUCUUCAGCCUCCUAUGCAGCCUAAUUACCAUGUGAAGCUCUAUAUGUAUAGCUUCACCCUAAGCGCAUGAUUUCUUUUGGCAUCAGACAAUCUGCUUAUCAUGUUGAACGCAUUAUAUGAAGCUCUGUGUUCAUAGCUUCAUCUAAGGACCAACUUGCUUUUGGAACUGCUCUCUAAUCACUAUGUAUAUAUUUGGAACCUCUGAUGUUCAUCUUAGACCCAUAUAAUAUCUAUCCGUACCACUUAAUGCAAAUAUUUUCCUAUGUUUAGUUCAUACUAUUUCUACUUCUGUAACUGCACUACAGAAGAAAUACAUUUAUAUUUCUCUGUAUAUAAUCAUCAGCACAUACCCUAUAAGACAUGAAAAUAAAAUCUAUGCUUCAUAAGAUCCAACUUUAACAUUGUUGUUGUAUUUGCCAUCAGAUCAAACAUUACAUUCUUUUCACUUGAAACCAAUUUAACUUCAACACUGAUCUCAGCAUGUUUCAUCUGAUGCCUAAAUAAAAUCUCCUACUCAGCAUGCUUCUUGCGCCAUCGGCGCAACCGGGUCAUCUAGUCUAACUAGUAAACUUGUCUGGCCAACCCGGCCAUACGAGGCCUCUUCGAGCGUGCGGUGAUUCCUGGCCGUUUGAUGCAAUUACUAUUUAUAGAUUUCACUCCCUGUCGGCUGGUAGCCGUUCAAUUUUUUUCACCCUUGCGCUCCUUGUUUCUGUCUAUGACUGUUGGGCUAGCGCGUGUGUGGGGUUCAUCUGCAGUGACAAGGGGACGCUCAGUCCGCGUCGCUCAUCGGGUUGGGGCGUGGCGCUCUCCUGCAGCCCGAUUGGCGCACUGGAGUGUCGCGCGCGUGCGUGCUGACCCAGCCGCGGGGCUGACCAGGUGAAGCGACACAGUCCAGCCGCGGGUGUGACCAGGUGAAGCGACGCGGCAUGGAUUUCCGUUUUGUACUCGCGCUUUCGAUGCCCAGCCGUGUUGGUGGGCUGUGGAGCGGGCCCGACUGGCAGUGGCUUGGGUGUGUGCAGAAAGGUAUGUUUUGCUGUGUUGUACGCUGGGUAAAGCGGUGCGUGUGAGGGAGACGUUGGGUAAAAGGGAGAACUCGUCGGGUUUGUUCUCUUUUUCCUGUGCUUACAUGUGUUGCGUCGCUGCGCAAGGGCCCAGCGGCCCAUGGUCUCCACAUGUCGGCCGGGGAGGUGGUUGAGUGUGUGGUUUACAGCGGCUGGGUCCAUUCCGCUGCUGACGCCGUACGUCCCCCCUGUCCACUCCAUUUUUUGUUUUAUCUUUCUGUCCGUUAGAUGCAAGCCGGGCUGGCCUCCAUCCGCCCGCUUUCCUACUCGCCUUGCAUGUUUCUGCCACUGCCUGUGGGUCUGGGUACAUGCGUGUUCUUGUUCGUAUGGUGGGCUGGUUGCUUCCUGUGUGGCUAAAAUAAUGAGCAUGCCUUACUGUUCCUCCCUCGCUGCCCCUUUUGUUGCCAAGACGGCCUGGUUAGCCCUCGUCCUCCUUCCACUCUCGCUCUCACUCCCCGCCUCGCUCGCUCGGCCUGCAGCUCUUAGAGCCGUCUCCGUCCACCGCGAACGGUUGUGUUUGGAGUUCUUCGUCAUGGCUGUGCUUCCUUCGCCUCUCGCGUACAGUUGAGGGUCAUACAGCCUGCUGUUUAACGCUCGGCCUGCUGCUCGGGGAGGUUUCCCGACGUCCGCGUGAUUCACUGGCAAGGUUAGAUGUGCUUUUGUUGCUAUGCUUCUUGCUGCAUGCUGUAUCAGCUUGUGGGAAAGGAUCUAAACUGACUGAUGUUGAUGCUGAUGCUUCUGCCACCGCACCUGCUAAGACCGUGGACACUGCGGUUGCUGAGACAAGGCGGCUGCUGUUGCUGCCAAGAACGUUUUAGCAAAAAAGCUAAAGUAGCGGCUGAUCGACGCUUUGGGAUGAGCGUGCAUGUCUGGCUGUUUUGUAUAUAGAAGGUCUCUGCCUUGGCCCUCGCCGCCUUGGGCUCGCUACUUUGGCGCUGGCUACUAACGCCUCCGCCCGCAAGGACAAGUGAACCCUGAAUCACCGUCGUUGUCUUCAGGCACCUCUCUUUGCACCCUUCUGGACAUGCUACUACGUUGCAUGCGUGUUUGCAAACCCAGUCUUUGACGCUCAUACAGCCCUGUCAAAGUUCAGUUGAUACACUUCCCUAUUUAAGAUGCGAACUAAGCUACUUUCAUGUCUUGUAAAUAUUGUCGUUGGCCUUUCCUGCUUUCCCUUGCCUCCUCAAUGACCAUUUCUAUCCAUUGUAAAUAUUCGUUCGGCCAUGCUACCUAAUAUAUGUAUUAUUAGCAGUGCAAUGUUAUUUCUUCUGAAGAUUAUGCA